AUACGUAGGUGGCAAGCGUUGUCCGGAAUUACUGGGCGUAAAGGAUGCGUAGGCGGAUAUGUAAGUCAGAUGUGAAAUACCCGGGCUCAACUUGGGUGCUGCAUUUGAAACUGCAUGUCUAGAGUGCGGGAGAGGAAAGUGGAAUUCCUAGUGUAGCGGUGAAAUGCGUAGAUAUUAGGAGGAACACCAGUGGCGAAGGCGACUUACUGGACUGUAACUGACGCUGAAGCACGAAAGCGUGGGGAGC
rnacentral:rRNA from 1 species